rnacentral:lncRNA from 1 species
AUAGAUAUAUAUAAUGUUCAAAUGAUGAAAAAAUUGUCAACUAGGUGGGUGGUAAUAUAUAAUCUAUCGUUCAUGGACUAACACUCAGUCAAAAAAACUUCAAAGUUCAAAAUAUCCCCUCACUUUAAAAAAAAAAAAAAAACUUAAAACUUUCAUAGACUAUAAUUGAUCGAUUACGGCGAUUUUCUUUGGGUUAUCAUCUAGCUGUUUUAUUUUAUUUGUUUUGGUCAUGGUUGGGGUUGGGACAUCGCUUGUCAACAUUCUAUUUGGUCCCCAACUCUGUGAAGCAUUUGAAAAUCAUUGGCCUGAGUAUCUAAGUUUUCUUUUUCCUGAUAUUUAUCCAAAUUCGAUUCCAC